rnacentral:rRNA from 1 species
UGUACACAUCCGGCCCGUCACACCACGAAAGUUUGCAACACCCCGAAGCCGGUGAGGUAACCCGAAAGGGAGCUAGCCGUCGAAGGUGGGGCCGAUGAUUGGGGUGAAGUCGUAACAAGGUAGCCGUAUCGGAAGGUGCGGCUGGAUCACCUCCUU